UACGUAGGGAGCAAGCGUUGUCCGGAUUUAUUGGGCGUAAAGAGCUCGUAGGCGGUUCCGUAAGUCAGGUGUGAAAAAUCUGGGCUCAACCCAGUGGAGCACCUGAUACUGCGGUGACUCGAGUCCGGUAGGGGAGUGUGGAAUUCCUGGUGUAGCGGUGAAAUGCGCAGAUAUCAGGAAGAACACCCGUGGCUAAGGCGGCUCUCUAGUACGGUACUGACGCUGAGACGCGAAAGCGUGGGGAGCGAACAGG
rnacentral:rRNA from 1 species